rnacentral:rRNA from 1 species
UACGUAGGGGGCAAGCGUUAUCCGGAAUUAUUGGGCGUAAAGCGCGCGCAGGCGGUUUCUUAAGUCUGAUGUGAAAGCCCACGGCUCAACCGUGGAGGGUCAUUGGAAACUGGGGAACUUGAGUGCAGAAGAGAAAAGCGGAAUUCCACGUGUAGCGGUGAAAUGCGUAGAGAUGUGGAGGAACACCAGUGGCGAAGGCGGCUUUUUGGUCUGUAACUGACGCUGAGGCGCGAAAGCGUGGGGAGCAAACAGG